CACGUAUGGGGCGAGCGUUGUUCGGAAUUAUUGGGCGUAAAGGGUAUGCAGGCGGUUUGACAAGUCUGGUGUGUAAGACCACAGCUUAACUGUGGGAGCGCGCUGGAAACUGUCAGGCUAGAGUACAGGAAGGGGAGUUGGAAUUCCAGGUGUAGGGGUGAAAUCUGUAGAUAUCUGGAAGAACAUCAGUGGCGAAGGCGAACUCCUGGCCAUGUACUGACGCUGAGAUACGAAAGCGUGGGGAGCAAACAGG
rnacentral:rRNA from 1 species